ensembl:lncRNA
GUAAACUAUCAAAUGUUUAUUUAAUUUCCAUUAAAGUGUUUUCAAGUAAAAAUAUGUACAAAAAUAUAUAUACAAAGGUUGAAGCAACUAGAAGCAUGACAGGCAUACAUACAUAAAUACAAUUGAAAUUAAAUUCAAUGCAAAAUGGAGUGACAUCAUAUUGCACCAAAAUUUAUUCAAUACAAAAGCACACGCAUCAACAGUUUCCAUCAGAUGGAAGCACACUUAUUUCAUAGCAUCUUACCACUUACACAAAUAGCCAUAAACACCAUCUGGCAGUGUGACUGCUGCACCAGAACUAUCCCCGGAGGGAAAGCAUUAAGCUGUAGACAAAUCCAUUUUAUCUUACAUAUCACAUGCUGGUAUAGGCAUCAGGGCCAGAGAACCCUAAGAAACACAACACAAUCCACAAACCAAAGUCCCUUUGCACCAUUUAUAUUUUCAUAGUUAAUUAUCUUGUUGUUACGUGCCGUCAAGUCUGCUUGUCAUCUUAGUACUCCUGAUAUGGUUGGAAUGUAGAUGCAGAAAAGCAAUUUUGCUCUUUAAUAAUUUAUCAAUAUGACAGUGUGUAAAAUUUGUAUAAAAUAUGCACAAUCCCCUUUACCAAGUUUCAUUAUCACAAUGCCAGAGUGAAGAAACCACACCACAGAUGAGGACCAUUGAGGAUACUGAGGCUCACUCUUCCUCAACUGGAUUUCCCACUUCCUGUAUUUUAGAGCACCAGGCCAAACCCACCAUUCCCCUCGCCCCCCAGUUAGGGGAAUGGUACAAGGUCAUGACAAAUGCAUUCCAGAUCCAAGUGAAGGGAUAUAGCUGGUCACAGGUCAAAGAGAAAGCUGCCAGCACAACCCUCUAGAGUAAUCUGACCACUACUUUCCCAGUGGGCUAAACUGAUUCCAUUGGUGCAAAUGAUUGAUGCUUGCCCUAGACUAUAAAAGGCAUUUAAAUACAUUCAUAUUCAUAUAUAGUACCUAAUAAUAUGUUAAUAUGAACAUACCAACACAUAUGUGGAUUUUUCUACCCCUUGAUAAUUGAAAAAGAAGUUACUGCUACUAGGUCAAAUUUUAACACAAAGCUCACUAAACACAUUUUUAUAAAGUAAAUACAGAUAUACAUACAACAGAAAGACACGAAAGAUUCAUCAUGAGAUGAAUUCUGAGUCAAAAACUAAAAACCAUUUCUACCAGUGCAUCACUACCAUCUAAUUCACUCUAUGAUAAGUAAAAACCAAGCUGUAUGAAAUCUAGUCAAAUCUUUGUCAGAAGAGUAGGACAAACUAAGUUCGCCAAGCAUUCAGUACAAGAGGCCAUUUGUCUUACUUUUUCUGACUUGUGCUUAUUAUAAAACCACAAGUAGCCAAGUUUUAGCGUGAGUAAAACAGAACUACAUGUUUGUUCAUCAGUUUGGUGUAGAGAGAAGACACUGUAUUUCAAUGGUACUAAGCAAUGCACUCAACACAUCUGAUUCUUACGUUCACAAAAUCCUCAAAAUGUUGAGAGGUACCAGUGAAACGCAUUACCGUUGGCAGCAAUCCAUCUACUAAGAGAUAAACAUUUGGGGCCAAUGCCAAUGAUUAUUUUGAACACAGGCAUUAGCCUCAAAUAUCCUAAAAGAGUAAAGUGAUAUGCCACUGUCUGAACAUGGAUAAUGUCAAGAGAAAAACCCAGUUUUCAAAAUGUAAGUAUCACUCAUUUAGUUCCAGAGUUACAGCAGUAGUAAUAACAUUCCCAAAGGAAAACUAUUAGGUAAAAAAUUUCUUCAAGGAGAGGAUCAAAAUAAUCCCAGACUACUUAAUAUUUGGGGAGGAUUCUUGUGGUUUGUGUUAUAACCGUAGCUAUAUAAAUUGGUUUUUGUCUCCAGAACAAUUCAAAAGUAAUAUGUAUGUACUAAUGUGAAACCGUUAAUAGAGUAGCCCCCUCUUAGCUGAGGUUUCACUUUCUGUGGUUUCAGUUACCCACAGACAACUGCCCUCCAAAAAUAUUAAACGGAAAAUUCCAGAGAUAAACAAUUCAUAAGUUUUAACUUGUGCGCCAUUCUGAAUAGUAUAAUGAAAUCCCAAGUGGUCCUGCCUUGUCCUGCCCGGGAUACGAAUCAUCCCUUUGUCCAGUGUAUCCAUGCUGUAUAUGCUACCCACCUCUUAGUCACUUAGUAGCCAUCUCAGUUAUCAGACCGACUGUCGUGGUUUCGCAGUGCUUGUGUUCAAGUAACCCUUAGUUUACUUAAUAAUGGCCCCAAAGCACAAGAGUAAUAAUGCUGGCAUUUUGGAUAUGCCAAAGAGAAGCUGUAAAGUGCUUGCUUUAAGUGAAUGGUGAAAGUUCUUGAUUUAAUAAGGAAAGAAGAAAAUCGUAUACUGAGGUUGCUACGAUCUAUGGUUAACUUUUAUUACAGUAUAUUGUUAUAAUUGUUCUUUUUUAUUAUUAGUUACUGUUGUUAACCUCUUACUGUGCCUAAUUUAUAAAUUAAACUUGAUCAUAGGUAUGUACGUAUGGGAAAAUACAUAGUAUAAAUAGGGUUCAGUACUAUCCCCGGGUUCAGGCAUCCACUAGGGGUCUUGGAAGGUAUCCCCCAUGGAUAAGAGGGGACAACUGCAUACACAGUAGUUUGGUGUAGAUCUUUUCUAUUCUAAGCAUACAUUCAUUUGAAACAAUGUGUUUUAUUUCUCCAAAGUAUUUUUCUACUUUAUCGGAAUAUUCUUUACAUUACAUUAGUCAGUAAAUGGAAAUUUGGAACGAGGGAGGAAUGGUAGGGAAAAAAAAAUUCAGAAAUCUUUUGAAAUAUGAAAUUCAAACCUAGAACCAGGGAACCACAUUGCAUUGCCUCCCAGUGAGAUGCAAAUGUGCUUUGGAGCACGUGCUGAAGAAUGUCAAUUAGUAGGAAUAAGUGAGGUCUAACUUCACAAGCCUCAUUUAAGUCAGGCCACUCACCACCCAACCAAUUAUACAGCUGUAACAACCAAAGGCCUAAUAUGUUUUCCCACAAGAAGCUAUGCAAAAAUACCCUGAUGCACAAGGUGCUCAAAAUGCAGACACUGCUACAAAAGAGAUAACUGUGUGUUAGUCUUUUUUUUUCCCUCUAGCUGUGAGCCUUUAGAGGCUUCAACCAGAGGUAAUAAGGGCUCAGCAACCAAGUCUUCUAACCAAUAAAUUAAUUCACUUUCUCUAGUCAUACCUUGUAAAAAAAAAAAAAAUCAGUAGUGUAUACGUUGAGGGAAAAAAGUAUGCUCACUUUCAAACCAGUGCAUCCAUCUGUAUGGCUCUCAGAUGCGUAAUGCUCCAUUUUCUUGAGAGAAUUCUUAUCUAUAAAACUGUUAAGACAGUUAUUGAAACUAUAAAUGUACCUUGGAUCCAAGUCGCUGAAAUACACACAUGUAACAGACAACUAUUUGGAGACAGUAACCAUGCUCCAGCGAUAUUUUAAAGCCAAUUCUAACAAAGAUUGGGGGGCAGGGACUCCAAGAAAGGAAACCUAAGUGGUAGUUUCG